rnacentral:rRNA from 1 species
UUCCGGUUGAUCCUGCCGGAGGUUACUGCUAUCGAGGUUCGACUAAGCCAUGCGAGUCGAAUGUAGCAAUACAUGGCGUACUGCUCAGUAACACGUGGAUAACCUACCCUUGAGAUGGGAAUAAACCCGGGAAACUGGGUAUAAUACCCGAUAGAUCUCGACUGCUGGAAUGCAUCGAGAUCCAAAGCUCCGGCGCUCAAGGAUGGAUCUGCGGCCUAUCAGGUAGUAGUGGGUGUAGUGUACCUACUAGCCUACGACGGGUACGGGUUGUGAGAGCAAGAGCCCGGAGAUGGAUUCUGAGACACGAAUCCAGGCCCUACGGGGUGCAGCAGGCGCGAAAACUUUACAAUGCUGGAAACAGCGAUAAGGGGACCUCGAGUGCCAGGUUACAAAUCUGGCUGUCGUGAUGCCUAAAAAACAUUGCAUAGCAAGGGCCGGGCAAGACCGGUGCCAGCCGCCGCGGUAACACCGGCGGCUCGAGUGGUAACCGUUAUUAUUGGGUCUAAAGGGUCUGUAGCCGGCCGGAUAAGUCUCUUGGGAAAUCUGGCAGCUUAACUGUCAGGCUUUCAGGAGAUACUGUCUGGCUCGAGGCCGGGAGAGGUGAGAGGUACUUCAGGGGUAGGGGUGAAAUCUUGUAAUCCUUGAAGGACCACCAGUGGCGAAGGCGUCUCACCAGAACGGACCUGACGGCAAGGGACGAAAGCUAGGGGCACGAACCGGAUUAGAUACCCGGGUAGUCCUAGCCGUAAACGAUACUCGCUAGGUGUCGGCAACGGUGCGACCGUUGUCGGUGCCGUAGGGAAGCCGUGAAGCGAGCCACCUGGGAAGUACGGCCGCAAGGCUGAAACUUAAAGGAAUUGGCGGGGGAGCACCACAACGGGUGGAGCUUGCGGUUUAAUUGGAUUCAACGCCGG